rnacentral:misc_RNA from 1 species
GGACUACGAGGGUAUCUAAUCCUGUUUGCUCCCCACGCUUUCGUGCAUGAGCGUCAAUCUUGACCCAGGGGGCUGCCUUCGCCAUCGGUGUUCCUCCACAUCUCUACGCAUUUCACCGCUACACCAGGAAUUCUACCAUCCUCUCCCGCACUCAAGGCUUGCCGUAUCAAAGGCAUUUCCACGGUUGAGCCGUGGGAUUUAACCUCUGACGCACAAACCCGCCUGCGCACCCUUUACACCCAGUAAUUCCGGACAACGCUUGGUUCCUACGUAUUACCGCGGCUGCUGACAC